rnacentral:tRNA from 1 species
GGAGAAGUCGCCUAGUUGGCCUAGGGCGCACGACUGGAAAUCGUGUAGGGGCUAAAAACUCCUCGAGGGUUCAAAUCCCUCCUUCUCCGCCA